CUCAGGGAGGUAGUGACAAGAAAUAACAACACUGGAAAUUUUAUUUCUAGUGAUUGGAAUGAUGGGAAUUUAAACCCCUUUCAGAGUAACAAUUGGAGGGCAAGUCUGGUGCCAGCAGCCGCGGUAAUUCCAGCUCCAAUAGCGUAUAUUAAAGUUGUUGCAGUUAAAAAGCUCGUAGUUGGAUGUCUGCUGGAAGCAAUCAGUCCGCCCUAUUUGUAGGGUGUGCACUUGAUGAAUUCUGGCAUUUUUGUCCCAAUGAUGUAGCGGGGCGGUGGUAUUCAGUGAAAGCUGAGUAUCCUGUUUUCCGAUUAUUGGGAUACUGUUACUUUGAGAAAAUUAGAGUGUUUGAAGCAGGCUAAUUGCCUUGAAUACUGGAGCAUGGAAUAACAAUAUAGGAUUUCGGUUCUAUUUUGUUGGUUUCUAGGACUGAAAUAAUGAUUAAUAGGGACAGUUGGGGGCAUUCGUAUUUAACUGUCAGAGGUGAAAUUCUUAGAUUUGUUAAAGACGAACUACUGCGAAAGCGUUUGCCAAAGAUGUUUUCAUUAAUCAAGAACGAAAGUUAGGGGCUCGAAGACGAUCAGAUACCGUCGUAGUCUUAACCAUAAACUAUGCCGACUAGAGAUAGGAAAAUGUCAUUUUGCUGACUU
rnacentral:rRNA from 1 species